rnacentral:rRNA from 1 species
GACAAGAAACCAACAGGGAUUGCCCCAGUAACGGCGAGUGAAGCGGCAACAGCUCAGAUUUGAAAUCUGCCCCGCGCGAGCGGGUCCGAGUUGUGCUCUGCAGAGGAUGCUUCGGGCGCCGCGCCAGGCCCAGGUCCCUUGGAACAGGGCGCCAAAGAGGGUGAGAGCCCCGUCUGCGGCCGCCGGCCGCGCGCCCACCACGUAGCUCCCUCGACGAGUCGAGUUGUUUGGGAAUGCAGCUCCAAGCGGGUGGUAAAUCUCAUCUAAGGCUAAAUACCGGCCAGAGACCGAUAGCGAACAAGUAGAGUGAUCGAAAGAUGAAAAGCACUUUGGAAAGAGAGUGAAACAGCACGUGAAAUUGUUGAAAGGGAAGCGCUCGCGACCAGACCCGGCCGCGGCCGAUCCGCCGGCGUUCUUCGCCGGCUCCCUCGGCCGUCGGUUCCCGGGCCAGCGUCGGCUCCGGGGACGGGAGGAUGGCGCCGGGAACGUGGCUCAACCCUCCGGGGGGGAGCACUUACAGCCCGGCGCGUCACGCCGUCACCCGGGGCCGAGGCCCGCGCUUAGGCACGGACGCUGGCGUAAUGGUCGCCAGCGACCCGUCUUGAAACACGGACCAAGGAGUCUAACAUCCCCGCGAGUGUUUGGGCGUUGAAAACCCCGGCGCGCAAUGAAGGUGAACGUAGGCGGGAGCCCGUCCGCGGGCGCACCGUCGACCGAUCCUGAUGUCUUCGGAUGGAUUUGAGUACGAGCGUGGCUGUUGGGACCCGAAAGAUGGCGAACUAUGCGUGGAUAGGGUGAAGCCAGAGGAAACUCUGGUGGAGGCUCGCAGCGGUUCUGACGUGCAAAUCGAUCGUCGAAUCUGCGCAUGGGGGCGAAAGACCANUCGAGCC